rnacentral:rRNA from 1 species
GACGAACGCUGGCGGCGUGCCUAAUACAUGCAAGUCGAGCGAGACUCUUCGGAGUCUAGCGGACGGACGGGUGAGUAACACGUGGGCAACCUGCCUGUGAGACUGGGAUAACACCGGGAAACCGGUGCUUAAUACCGGAUAAUCCUUUUCCUCUCAUGAGGGAAAGCUGAAAGUCGGUUUCGGCUGACACUUACAGAUGGGCCCGCGGCGCAUUAGCUAGUUGGUGAGGUAACGGCUCACCAAGGCGACGAUGCGUAGCCGACCUGAGAGGGUGAUCGGCCACACUGGGACUGAGACACGGCCCAGACUCCUACGGGAGGCAGCAGUAGGGAAUCUUCCACAAUGGACGAAAGUCUGAUGGAGCAACGCCGCGUGAGCGAUGAAGGCCUUCGGGUCGUAAAGCUCUGUUGUUAGGGAAGAACAAGUACCGGAGUAACUGCCGGUACCUUGACGGUACCUAACCAGAAAGCCACGGCUAACUACGUG